rnacentral:lncRNA from 1 species
UUUUUUUUUUUUUUGUAGUUUUUGAAGCCAAAUUUCCGAUUUUUGAAUUUUUGUAGACUGCAAUUUGGAGAACUGGGAGCCAACAGAUUCUGCUUCAGAGCCGAUUGAUCGUACUGAUGGUUGUGCAAGUCAGUUUCACUUUAUUAAAAAAGCUGGAUAAAGAUCACUGGAAAAACAAAGAGACUGUGUGUUUUCUUUGUUUUGAUGUUUGUUUGUGUGUAUGUAUAUUCGUUUGUUUGACAGGUUUUGCUAUUAUUGGAUUGAUGGAAAUAUUUGAAAAUGGUACUUGUAAGGUAUUUGUAGUAACUGAAAUUUACUUAUGGACCCCAAAGUAUUUGGACACUUACAAUAAAAAGUAUUAAAUAUUCAAAACCUUUCAAAAAGAAAAAAAAAAAAAAAAUGAAAAUCCAAGAUGUAGAUGAGUUUGUUUCUUCAUCAGAACAUAUUUAGAGAACUGUAGCAUUAUUUCACUUGCUCAGCAAUGGAUCCACUGCAGUGAAUGGGUGCCGUCAGAUUGAGAGUCCAAACAGCUGAUAAACACACAAAAAGAAAAAAAAAAAAGAAAUAGAAAAUCCAAGAUGUAGAUGAGUUUGUUUCUUCAUCAGAACAUAUUUGGAGAACUGUAGCAUUAUUUCACUUGCUCAGCAAUGGAUCCACUGCAGUGAAUGGGUGCCGUCAGAUUGAGAGUCCAAACAGCUGAUAAACACAUCACCGUAAACAACAAGUAAUCCACAUCAAUCCAGUCCAUCAAUGAAUGUGUUGUGAAGCCAAAAUCUAUAUGUUUGUAAGAAACAAAUCCAUCAAGAUGUUUUUUAACUUCAGUCCAUUGCUUCUGGCAAAAUACAAGUCCUCUAUGCAUAAUAAUGCUUCCUCUAGUAAAAAUGUCUGAAUCAGGAGAGAAAUAUGCACAGAUCAAGCCAAUACCCUUCUAAAAAAUAUAGUGGUGGGAUUUUUCUGUGAAAGGACAACUUUUUCAUGAAAGCAAGCAUUAUUUUGGAUUCUGGACUCAUAUUUUUGGCUAGAAGCAACUUCAAACACCAUAAUGAUUGAUUUGUUUCUUAUAAACAUGCAGCUUUUCAAUUCACAAGGCAUUUAUUGAUGGACUGGAGUGGUAUGGAUUAUUGUGAUGUUUUUAUCAGCUGUUUGGACUCUCAUUAUAACGGCAUCCAUUCACUGCAGAGGAUCCAUUGCUGAGCAAGUGAUGUAAUGCUACAUUUCUCCAAAUCGAUGAAACACUCAUCUAAAAUGAAAAAACACUCAUCUUCAUCUUAAAUGACCUGAAAGUGAGCACAUUUCUGGCUGUUUAAAAACAACCAAAAAAGUUAGGAGGUUUUACAGAAUACCAUAGUAAAUUUCCAUAAUCAUGUUAUCCCUAUGGUACACUUUUCUGGAAACACAUGAUAAUACUAUGGUAUUUUAUGUACUUUUUUUGUUUGUUUGUUUGUUUUUGUUAGUGCCUCAGAUAUAUGUAAAGAACUUGCACAAAGUCAAUUUAACUACAGAACACAAAUGCGUGUUAACGUUUAUGGAACAUGUCUUGUGUGUUUAAUUUGGUAUGACUGGAACAGCAUUUAUUUGACAUUCCUGUGUGUGCAUCUGUGCACUGGUUUUAUGUCUCAUGAGUGCAGAAAAAAUGGAGCUAUGAUUUGGAAUUUCCUCUCAGCAAAUCCCAGACUAACAGAACAACAAAUG